AUCCAACCAAAGAGUCCCAAAUAGGACGAAACGUGAGUCCUGGAU
rfam:Schistosoma mansoni strain Puerto Rico chromosome 1, complete genome